rnacentral:rRNA from 1 species
GGCUCACCAAGGCGACGAUGUCUAGGGGGUCUGAGAGGAUGAUCCCCCACACUGGUACUGAGACACGGACCAGACUCCUACGGGAGGCAGCAGUGAGGAAUAUUGCGCAAUGGAGGAAACUCUGACGCAGCCAUCCCGCGUGCAGGAUUGACGGCCCUAUGGGUUGUAAACUGCUUUUCUAUACCAAGAAACACCGAUACGUGUAUCGGUUUGCCGGUAGUAUAGGAAUAAGCAUCGGCUAACUCCGUGCCAGCAGCCGCGGUAAUACGGAGGAUGCAAGCGUUAUCCGGAAUCACUGGGUUUAAAGGGUGCGCAGGCGGAAUAGUAAGUCAGAGGUGAAAGCCCACAGCUCAACUGUGGAAUUGCCCUUGAUACUGUUAUUCUUGAGUGUAGUUGAAGUAGGCGGAAUAUAGCAUGUAGCGGUGAAAUGCAUAGAUAUGCUAUAGAACACCAAUUGCGAAGGCAGCUUGCUAAACUAUAACUGACGCUGAGGCACGAAAGCGUGGGGAGCGAACAGGAUUAGAUACCCUGGUAGUCCACGCCGUAAACUAUGAACACUCGCUGUUGGCAAUACACAGUCAGCGGCUGAGCGAAAGCGUUAAGUGUUCCACCUGGGAAGUACGAUCGCAAGGUCGAAACUCAAAGGAAUUGACGGGGGCCCGCACAAGCGGAGGAGCAUGUGGUUUAAUUCGAUGAUACGCGAGGAACCUUACCUGGGCUUAAAUGUAUAUUGACGUACUGAGAAAUCAGUAUUUCUUCGGACAAUUUACAAGGUGCUGCAUGGUUGUCGUCAGCUCGUGCCGUGAGGUGUCGGGUUAAGUCCCAUAACGAGCGCAACCCCUACUUCUAGUUACCAGCAUUUCGGAUGGGGACUCUAGAGGAACUGCCUACGCAAGUAGAGAGGAAGGUGGGGAUGACGUCAAAUCAGCACGGCCCUUAUGUCCAGGGCUACACACGUGCUACAAUGGCCGGUACAGAGGGCAGCUACAUAGCAAUAUGAUGCUAAUCUCAAAAGCCGGUCUCAGUCCGGAUUGGAGUCUGCAACUCGACUCCAUGAAGCUGGAUUCGCUAGUAAUCGCACAUCAGCAAUGGUGCGGUGAAUACGUUC